AGGAAUUUAGGUUAAACCAGACCAAGAGCCUUCAAAGCCCUAAGCAAGUAACUANUACUUAAUUCCUG
rnacentral:tRNA from 1 species